GGGCACAUAGCGGAGUGGUUUACCGCAUCGGUUUUCGGUCCCGAAGGUCAUGGGUUCGAUCCCCAUUGUGCUCU
rnacentral:tRNA from 1 species